UUUUCAGAUAAAAGCAAAGCUUAUCUGAAAAGGGUUGAUGAAAAUAGUGAUUGAAAACAUAUUAUUUUCAUUUGAGAGAGAAAGUUGGUACUUCAGGGAUUUGGAUUGCAUUUGUUUCAGGGCUUUUGGUGGUGGCAGUGCUCUGCUUGGCAGACAUUUUGCUUCAAGUGCCUUUUUUUUUUUUUUCUGACUUCUGAUUGAGAGUUUCAAAAAUAAGCUGCAGAGAAAGGAGAAAGUGAAACUCAGAUGCACGAGAAAAGUAUCAAGUCCCAACUGAGGAGAUAUAAUCGGUCUUGAAACAUCUCAAAAUGUGUCAACCAUGUUUAGAAAUGGCUACAUUAAAAAGGAGGAAAGCUUGAUCCUUUUAGCACUGUAAAUCAUGGAAAGCAGUGAAAACUAAUAUUUAUGAGGGGGAUUGUGAAAGCCUGUGUGACAGUUGGAAAUUACAUCACUGUUGAUGUUUCAAAUUCUUGUGUAAAGUAAUGCAAUACUGUGUUUAUGAAUGAAUGAACAAAUGAUUGUGCUGUGCUAAGUAUACUAUGUUGCUUGACUUGGUUGAGCUAUUUUUUAUCUGUUGUUUUUUUUCUUAUGCUACUCCACUGUAUACAGUUCCAUAUGUUUCAGCAUAAAAGUAGAAAACACAAUUCAGUAUAUGUAUUUUUUUUUAUUUCAGAUACAGACCCACGUGUAUUAGAGAAACAAGAACUUCAGCAGCCAACCUAUGUUGCUCUAAGUUACAUUAACAGAUGGCAGACUCUGAAGACAUAGCUAGAUGAUUAUAUGAACAAUUACUUUGAAGUAUCAAGCCUGGAAACUGUACAUAUAUGAAGAAAGUAUCCUGAGAAGUCGUCUUCAUGAGAGCAGCAGUUCCCAGAAGGCAGCAUUUUUGUGGUUGCUUGUGUGGUGCAGCUUUCAGGAGAACAAAGCCAGAGCCCUGAGGAGGAAUUCAGCCAAAGCAGCUCAGAGUUGUGAGGCCUAGCCACCAUUAGCCUUGGCGUUCUGGCAUCCUGAGUGCACGUUUUUCUUUUUCAUCCUGGUCUCUUGUGAAAAUGAAAAUAAUGCAACUCAGGGUGUAGCUCUGUGAGUAUUUUUUCUGAAUUACUUCAGAACAUUUCUGAUUCUCAGUUUCUCAGUGCAUCAGAUCAGCAGGGAGAGACGUGAUGUUUUGCAAUUGAUUUGUUGAGAUGCUGUGUGAUUUAGGAAGUGUCAUGUAGGAUAAGAGAAGGUGUCAGGAUAUUAAAGACUUCCUGCUGUGAGGUAAAGGAUCUCAUAACAGAUAGGGGAAGAGAGUGGAGGGAGAAACAAGUGGAAUGGAAGGAAAUCAUAUUUGCUCUUCAUAUCUGUCUACGCAUUGCAACUUAGAGACUGAGAAUCUGUAUUUUAGAACACCCUUAGGUGAGCUAUAGGAGGAGGCAUUUUGAAUGGAAACAUUUCUGGUGUCCCACUUUUGUUGAAGAUGCUGCUUGGGUUCACAGUUACUAAAGAAAGAUUGCUGACAGCAGCCAAGUUAAGAUGGAUGUACGCUUGCAGUUCUUCUGUAGGGAUGGAAUGGGAAAUAUUUAAUACAUAGAUUAGACUACUGGCAUAAUAAAUAUUCACAGUAGCAUAUAAAACACCAAAAAUGUAUUUUUCAUCAAACAUUUCCUCUGUUGACCUAGCACAAGUUUCAAACUGCUCUUUCCUAGAAUCGUUAUCAGACAGGUGGUGUUGUCAAUUGCACUUCUUUAGUUGGUGUCUGUUUCUGCAACAUAUUGAGAAUUACAGUUAAUAAGUUAAUCAAAUACAAAUAUGUUAAUUUAAUCUCAGUGAAACAGAUGUUACUUUAAAUUCCCUAAUACAUAAUAUAGAGAUUAGUUUUCCAAGACUGGAUAAGAUGAGCAGUGCAAUGUGAAUUAAACGUAAAAAUUUCCACAGUCUUAAGUGGAGACUGCUGUGGUUCAUAAGGUUCGGUUGACUUUCCUUCCUUUAGCUGUUAAUUUUUCUACACAUCCGCUUUUGUAGUGUGUGGUUUGAACAAGAAACAAAGUUUUCAAGGUGUUUUGUCUAGGCAUUCUUUCUAGUAACAGCCUGCACAGAACCACGCAGUACCAACAGCCAUGUGAAAAUGUCUACGCUGGGAGACCUACUGCACAUUUCAGGGGUUUCAUUUUAAUUUAUUUUUUAACACUUUAGAAAAUGGGGUUGUUUUAACAAGCACAGAUAAUGAAAUUCCUAGGUCUCGCCUUUAUUUGAACACAGGACUUAUGUACCUCCUGCUCUGUUCAUCGCUGUUGAGAAAUCCAGCUUGCAAUUUAGAAUAUUGUCAUUUGAGUGGAAUUGCUUGUAUAUGUCAUUCAUGUAAUAGCUUGGGCUUGCUGGCUCCCCGAACCUGCCAUUUGUCAGAAAGUGGGCAUUUGUGAACUUGAACGUAUGGUGUGUAUAAAAUACCACUAAAUUUCAGCUAUGCACAUUUCAAAAUCACAUUCCAAGAAAAUAGCAAAAUCGAUUUGUAUUCAUUUUUUAUCAUUUAAUUUCUCAUUUUUAUUUUCUGUUUUUAGCGGUGUUAGGUAAAAGCCUUAAAACACCAUUGUACAUACUUAAUAUAUUCCCUUCGUUCUGUGGAAUUAGUCGAUUUAAAGUCCUAUUGACAGUGCAUUUUAGUCCAGAUGGUCUCAGCUUUGUGUAAUUUACCUUUCAAUGUAUGUCUUUCCAGCUGGGACAACUCUGCUUUGGGUGGAAUUUGCAUAGACAUCAGAUAUUUGCUACAUGCCUGGAAAGAAAAGUGUGACCAAGU